UCACACUUUUGGACGGUACAGGGGACCAGCCUUCCAGGUGUUUUCUUCUCCCCAUCUGUGUGCCUCUGCCUCCUACUCUCCAGAGGUGCUUCAAGGAGCUGCGAUUCCAGACUAUAUCAUCAGGCUUAGAUGGAUGCAGCAUUUAUUGGAGAUCCUCAUGAUCUGACUGGAGAGGAUGACAGAAGCUGGGGUCAUCUGGCAUGAGGGAAUUUUCGUUGAAGAAUGACCUCCAUCAGACCAGCCUGUUGGUGUGUCUGUAAAGCAUUGUCUUGAUUAAUGACUG
rnacentral:lncRNA from 1 species